UACGGAGGAUCCGAGCGUUAUCCGGAAUUAUUGGGUUUAAAGGGUGCGUAGGCGGCCAGAUAAGUCAGGGGUGAAAGUCGGCAGCUCAACUGUCGCAGUGCCUUUGAUACUGUUUGGCUUGAAUUCGGUUGAAGAUGGCGGAAUGAGACAAGUAGCGGUGAAAUGCAUAGAUAUGUCUCAGAACCCCGAUUGCGAAGGCAGUUAUCUAAGCCGUUAUUGACGCUGAUGCACGAAAGCGUGGGUAGCAAACAGG
rnacentral:rRNA from 1 species